CUGUCCUUUAGCAAUGUGCUCCACUACAGGCCAACCGGUCCAGUUUUAAGGGAAAUGCCAUUUGAUAUUCCCCUGAACUGUAACUAUCCCAGUUUUCACUUGACUAUUGCAGGUUUUUCCACUCCUAUAAAGUUGGCUUCUAUCCUGAUCGCAUGGGUGCAGUUUUCAAACGACU